CAGCCGUAAACAAUGUGCGUUAGGUAUGUCGGUAACCACGUGUUACUGAUGUGCCGAAGAGAAAUCGUGAAACGCACCACCUGGGAAGUACGGUCGCAAGGCUGAAACUUAAAGGGAAUUGGCGGGGGGAGGCACCACAACAGGUGGAGCCUGCGGUUUAAUUGGAUUCAACGCCGGACAUCUCACCGGAUAAGACAGCUGAAUGAUUGUCAAUCUGAAGGUUUUACAUGACUAGCUGAGAGGAGGUGCAUGGCGUCAGUGACU
rnacentral:rRNA from 1 species